rnacentral:rRNA from 1 species
GAGUUUGAUCCUGGCUCAGAACGAACGCUGGCGGCAUGCCUAACACAUGCAAGUCGAACGAGACCUUCGGGUCUAGUGGCGCACGGGUGCGUAACGCGUGGGAAUCUGCCCUUGGGUUCGGAAUAACAGUUAGAAAUGACUGCUAAUACCGGAUGAUGUCUUCGGACCAAAGAUUUAUCGCCCAAGGAUGAGCCCGCGUAAGAUUAGGUAGUUGGUGGGGUAAAGGCCUACCAAGCCGACGAUCUUUAGCUGGUCUGAGAGGAUGAUCAGCCACACUGGGACUGAGACACGGCCCAGACUCCUACGGGAGGCAGCAGUGGGGAAUAUUGGACAAUGGGCGAAAGCCUGAUCCAGCAAUGCCGCGUGAGUGAUGAAGGCCUUAGGGUCGUAAAGCUCUUUUACCCGGGAUGAUAAUGACAGUACCGGGAGAAUAAGCCCCGGCUAACUCCGUGCCAGCAGCCGCGGUAAUACGGAGGGGGCUAGCGUUGUUCGGAAUUACUGGGCGUAAAGCGCACGUAGGCGGUUAUUCAAGUCAGAGGUGAAAGCCCGGGGCUCAACCCCGGAACGGCCUUUGAAACUAGAUGACUAGAAUCUUGGAGAGGCGAGUGGAAUUCCGAGUGUAGAGGUGAAAUUCGUAGAUAUUCGGAAGAACACCAGUGGCGAAGGCGACUCGCUGGACAAGUAUUGACGCUGAGGUGCGAAAGCGUGGGGGAGCAAACAGGAUUAGAUACCCUGGUAGUCCACGCCGUAAACGAUGAUAACUAGCUGUCC